rnacentral:rRNA from 1 species
CGAGUGGCGGACGGGUGAGUAAUGUCUGGGAAACUGCCCGAUGGAGGGGGAUAACUACUGGAAACGGUCUCUAAUACCGCAUAACGUCUUCAGACCAAAGUGGGGGACCUUCGGGCCUCACACCAUCAGAUGUGCCCAGAUGGGAUUAUCUAAUAUGUGGGGUAAUGGCUCACCUAGGCCACGAUCCCUAUCUGGUCUGAGAGGAUGACCACCCACACUGGAACUGAGACACGGUCCACACUCCUACGGGAGGCAGCAGUGGGGAAUAUUGCACAAUGGGCGCAAGCCUGAUGCACCCGUGCCGCGUGUAUGAAGAAGGCCUUCGGGUUGUAAAGUACUUUCUGUGGGGAAGAAGGCGUUAAGGUUAAUAACCUUGGCGAUUGACUUUACCCGCAGAAGACGCACCGGCUAACUCCGUGCCAACACCCGCGGUAAUACAGAGGGUGCAAGCGUUAAUCAGAAUUACUGGGCGUAAAGCGCACGCACGCGGUCUGUCAAGUCAGAUGUGAAAUCCCCGGGCUCAACCUGAGAACUGCAUUCAAAACUGGCACGCUAGACUCUUGUAGAGGGGGGUAAAAUUCCAUGUGUAGCUGUGAAAUGCAUAGAUAUCUAGAAGAAUACCUGUGGCGAACGCCGCCCCCUGGACAAACACUGACUCUCAUGUGCGAAAGCGUGGGGAGCACACAAGAUUAUAUACCCUGGUACUCCACCCCAUACACUAUCUCCACUUAGAUGUUGUUCCCUUGAAGAGUGUCUUCCAGAUCUAACGCUUUAACUCCACCCCCUGGAGAAUACNGCCGCAAGGUUAACACUCAUAUGAAUUCACGGGGGCCCGCACAAGCUGUGGAACAUGUGUUUUAUUCUAUGCAACGCAGAAAACCUUACCUACUCUUCACCUCC